GAGGCAACUGCCUGGCCAGUGUGGAGGCAGCUUUAGUCCCUGGGACCGUUUCUGUGCCCAAGGAGAGGGAGGGCAGGGGAAGGAUGGAAUUUCAUCUAGAGUAGCAGGUCCUGGUUACCUGGUAAAUUAUGCAUCAGGACUGGGCUAGCCACUGCCUCCGUUUUCUCUGGGCUCCUGAGAUAACCUCCACCUGCCUCUAGAUUCUGUGCCAGCUGAUCGUAUCUAUCUCAUCAACUCUUGUUCCAUCAGGAAACUGCAUCUUGGAUUCUGGGUCAACAUCAUCCCCGCGGUGGAUCCAUUGGUGAGAGCAAUAAUGAAGCAGGUUUGCCACCAGGCUCCCAAAGAAGUGGGAACACUGACUGCAAAGGGCACAAUCUGAUUGGAUGAAAAGCGAGGCCUCAGAAGCAUUGGCACGUGUCCGCGAAGAGCCUAGCUGGAGGUCUGUCCUAGAGGAGGGGCGGAAGGAGGGGCGAGAAUGGCAGCGCCCCAUUUCAUCCGACUGCUCUGUGUUCCUCACAUCUGACCCAACCUUCCGUUACAACACAGGCACAUUUGUGGA